AGCUUGCUAAUAAUUCUCUAGUGGCGCACGGGUGAGUAACACGUGAGUAACCUGCCCCCAAGAGUGGGAUAGCCCCGGGAAACUGGGAUUAAUACCGCAUAAAAUCGCAAGAUUAAAGCAGCAAUGCGCUUGGGGAUGGGCUCGCGUCCUAUUAGUUAGUUGGUGAGGUAACGGCUCACCAAGGCGAUGACGGGUAGCCGGUCUGAGAGGAUGUCCGGCCACACUGGAACUGAGACACGGUCCAGACACCUACGGGUGGCAGCAGUCGAGAAUCAUUCACAAUGGGGGAAACCCUGAUGGUGCGACGCCGCGUGGGGGAAUGAAGGUCUUCGGAUUGUAAACCCCUGUCAUGUGGGAGCAAAUUAAAAAGAUAGUACCACAAGAGGAAGAGACGGCUAACUCUGUGCCAGCAGCCGCGGUAAUACAGAGGUCUCAAGCGUUGUUCGGAAUCACUGGGCGUAAAGCGUGCGUAGGCGGUUUCGUAAGUCGUGUGUGAAAGGCGGGGGCUCAACCCCCGGACUGCACAUGAUACUGCGAGACUAGAGUAAUGGAGGGGGAACCGGAAUUCUCGGUGUAGCAGUGAAAUGCGUAGAUAUCGAGAGGAACACUCGUGGCGAAGGCGGGUUCCUGGACAUUAACUGACGCUGAGGCACGAAGGCCAGGGGAGCGAAAGGGAUUAGAUACCCCUGUAGUCCUGGCAGUAAACG
rnacentral:rRNA from 1 species